rnacentral:rRNA from 1 species
AUACGGAAGGUCCGGGCGUUAUCCGGAUUUAUUGGGUUUAAAGGGAGCGCAGGCGGAGAUGCAAGCGUGACGUCAAAUUUCGGGGCUCAACCCCGUCUCGCGUCGCGAACUGCGUCCCUUGGUUGCGGGAAGGGGAGGCGGAACUCGUGGUGUAGCGGUGAAAUGCAUAGAUAUCACGAAGAACUCCGAUCGCGAAGGCAGCCUUCCGGCCCGUCAACGACGCUCAUGCUCGAAGGUGCGGGUAUCAAACAGGAUUAGAUACCCUGGUAGUCCGCACAGUAAACGAUGGACUCCCGCGGUUUGGCCUAUAUGGCUGAGCCGCCAAGCGAAAGCGUUAAGUGUCCCACCUGGGGAGUACGCCGGCAACGGUGAAACUCAAAGGAAUUGACGGGG